UACAGAGGGUGCGAGCGUUAAUCGGAAUUACUGGGCGUAAAGCGUGCGUAGACGGUUAUUUAAGUCGGGUGUGAAAGCCCCGGGCUCAACCUGGGAAUUGCAUUCGAGACUGAAUAGCUAGGGUACGGUAGAGGGAAGCGGAAUUUCCGGUGUAGCGGUGAAAUGCGUAGAUAUCGGAAGGAACAUCAGUGGCGAAAGCGGCUUCCUGGACCAGUAUCGACGUUCAGGCACGAAAGCGUGGGGAGCAAACAGG
rnacentral:rRNA from 1 species